GCAAACUUGGUCAUUUAGAGGAAGUAAAAGUCAUAACAAGGUUUCCGUAGGUGAACCUGCGGAAGGAUCAUUAAUAGUGCCCUCUGAUGCAAAUCAUUGGGUUAGAUCUGCUCUCUUCGCAAGAAGAGGGUUUCCAUACACACCGUGAACUGUGGCUUCGGCCAUCACAAACUGUUAGUAAUGAAUGUAAUAUCAUAACAAAAACAAAACUUUUAACAACGGAUCUCUUGGCUCUCGCAUCGAUGAAGAACGCAGC
rnacentral:misc_RNA from 1 species